GCACUGGUGGUUCAGUGGUAGAAUCUCACCUUCUAUGUGGGAGACCCAAGUUCAAUUCCUGCCCAUGUA
rnacentral:tRNA from 1 species